GAUUUGCACCAACAAUGAUGCAAGAUCAGAUCUGGGAAGUAGUGAAAAAUCAUAUACCACCAAAACUAUUUAGAUUGAACGAAUUAGCAUUACAACAUGGUCAUCGUGUUUUGAGACUUCCUCCAUAUCACUGCGAGUAUAAUCCAAUCGAAAUGGUAUGGUCAGAAUGCAAACGGCAUUACGAUGCAAGGAUCGGUUCAAUUCAGCCUGUCACACACAGUGCCGUUUUGUCUUUAUGGAAU